ACCGUGGCCUUUGUGAUCGUUUAGACGCGACAGGAAACACGAGGUCUCGCGCACGCAAUGCUGCCACCCCCCACUCCCACUCGAUGCGUGCAUGGCUGCGCAGGUGUGUUGUCCGUACUCUGCGUUCGUGCUCGGUCACUCACGCGUAUCGGGGUUGCUGGCCAUUUUGCAAUUGUUCGCGGUUGCAUCAUCGACGGAUAAAUCGUAAUUCCGUGACGCUCCCGCCGUAAAGAUUGCGCCGGAAUAUCGGAAACAGACAUCGCCGCAGCCGGGAAACGGCGGUGCACCGUCGGGCCGCAGGAGAUCCAGACUUUACUCUGCAGACGUUCGUUUAAGCGACGGCUUUCCUCGAAACAUAUUCGGUCUGUGAAACAAGCCGGAUCCACUAACGGGAGAUUGGAUGGCAGCGUAGAAAACAGCUCGGCCGCACUCUGCACCGAUCCAGAACCUUCCGUUCGAGACAAGGAAGCAGCAGAUUUGGAAAACGGAAAAAGGUGGUUCCUGAGAGAAGGGGUUGUUAAUUCUGGACAUUCUCCCUGCUAGAUGCGUGUUAAUCGUGUUUUCGACGCUGGCGCUUGUCCUGGAGCCUGCCAAUCGACUUCCUUCCUACAUCGAAUCGAUAUCUGGAGGAUCGAACGGUUCUGUUUCCGGUGGAAUUGAAAUGGAAAUCGGGAUCAGCCAAGUUCAUGGACACCGUGGCCGCGAAGGAUUUCAUCGAUCGCCGGAGAUCCCGAUGGAUGAGAUUCGC